GUCGUGAGAUGUUGGGUUAAGUCCCGCAACGAGCGCAACCCCUGUCGUCAGUUGCUAACAGGAAAGCUGAGCACUCUGGCGAGACUGCCGACGUUAAGUCGGAGGAAGGUGGGGAUGACGUCAAGUCCUCAUGGCCCUUAUGCCCAGGGCUACACACGUGCUACAAUGGCCGGUACAAAGGGUUGCGACAACGCAAGUUGAAGCCAAUCUCAAAAAACCUGCCUCAGUUCAGAUUGGAGUCUGCAACUCGACUCCAUGAAGUUGGAAUCGCUAGUAAUCCCGGAUCAGCACGCCGGGGUGAAUACGUUCCCGGGCCUUGUACACACCGCCCGUCACACCAUGGGAGUCAGUUGCUCCAGAAAUCGGUACGCCAACCGCAAGGAGGCAGCCGCUCAAGGAGUGACUGGUAACUGGGGUGAAGUCGUAACAAGGUAACCGUAGGGGAACCUGCGGUUGGAUCACCUCCUUUCUGGAGUCUAUCGCGUGGCCUUGAGCCACUGCGACAGCUCGGUCAAUCUCGCGCCGUAUUCGUUAUCAGUUUUGAGAGACCAACACGGUCUAGUCGGGCCUGUAGCUCAGCUGGUUAGAGCACACGCUUGAUAAGCGUGGGGUCGUAAGUUCGAAUCUUACCAGGCCCACGGGCCCACGUAGUUUUGGUACGUGGACCUUUGAUAAUUGAAUAGUCGACGAAGCGCGAAUCAAGAUCGCGUCACUGCCACAGCAUUUCUAGAUUGGGCAGGACGCGAUGACGAGAUUCGCUGAGUCAAGGUAACCAAACUCUGGAUAGGAGUUUGCGUUACUGGGUGUCUCGAAAAGCGAACCUUGGCCUCGACCCCGUAGGCUGCUGGAAGUUUCAGCAGCCGUAGGGCUGGUGGUCAAGCUAGUAAGGGCACUCGGUGGAUGCCUUGGCGCCAGGAGGCGAUGAAGGACGUGAUUAGCUGCGAUAAGCUACGGGGAGCCGCAAGUAGGCGUCGAUCCGUGGAUGU
rnacentral:sRNA from 1 species